rnacentral:rRNA from 1 species
GGUGACCAUACCGGAGGGGUCCCACCCGUUCCCAUCCCGAACACGGAAGUUAAGCCCUCCUGGGCCCAUGAUACUGCAGCUGCGAGGCUGUGGGAAAGUAGGUCGUUGCC